rnacentral:rRNA from 1 species
UACAGAGGGUGCAAGCGUUAAUCGGAGUUACUGGGCGUAAAGAGCACGUAGGCGGUUGAUUAAGUCAGUUGUGAAAGCCCUGGGCUUAACCUGGGAACUCGCAAAUGAUACUGGUUAACUAGAGUCGAAGAGAGGGAAGCGGAAUUUCCGGUGUAGCGGUGAAAUGCGUAGAUAUCGGAAGGAACAUCAGUGGCGAAGGCGACUACCUGGCCUGUUUCUGACGCUGAGGCGCGAAAGCUAGGGGAGCAAACGGG